UACGUACUAUUUAUCAAAAAGGGUUAAAGGCAAAUCUAGGAAAGUUACCACAUGCUUCUUGACCUUCUUAUCCUUCUUGUCCUUCUUGCUCUUUUUGUCGGUCUUGGCCUUUGUCCCCAGGUUAUACCCCAGGUACCUGCGUGCUGGCACUGUCGCUGGUGGAUUUCCUGGAGAAUUCAGAAGGGCAGCCAACCAGCGAUCUACAAAUUGUUGUUCAUCCAUAUCAAAGUACUACAAUAAGGCCGAAGUAAUUUUAAUAUCUUAAAAGAUAUGAUAUCCUUGUGUCUUAUAUCGCCAAAAAAAAGAAAAGAAAAGACAAAACAGUCGCUGUUACAGUAAGUUU
rnacentral:ribozyme from 1 species